rnacentral:lncRNA from 1 species
AUGCAAACACUUCAAAGCGAACGCAGCAGUGACCGAGCCGAAGUGGCUGGGGCAGCGACGUCCACCAGCGGACCUGCAGUUCGGGCACCGGGCCCGGCCGCAGCCCGACGGAGGCAGCAGGGGCUGCUUGCAGCCUCUCGUCGCGAGUGCGCUUCCACGGCGGACCCAACGCGCCCGUGCAACGGGAUCGUGCUCCCGUUACGGCACGCAGCUCCCUUUACCCGUGGCGUUCGCUUCUACCUGCUGGUCUGCCUGCAGCAAAACUCCAGACUCAACGUUACAUCCUCCGUGGCCAAGAAACAGAAGCAACCGGCUCCAAAGGAGAAUCACGUCCUAUUUUGCCCUUUCUGUCCACGUCCCGGGUUAGAGCUGGUCUUUCUCCGGACUACUACUUUCAUUCAGUUCUGCGUCUACAUGUGCGAGCUGUAUUUGCACAUGAAGAUUAAUGAGCCUGAUAACAUCGUUACUUACCCGGAAGUGCUGCAUGAUGCAACGUUUCCUUGAUACAACCUGCUCUGAGGUAUCGUGCUCUUCCUCGAGCCAGCCAGGGUGAUCCUCAGCGGUCUUCAACGUGAUGAAACACGCACGCCUGUGGAGGGACAGCCGACACGAGCCCUCAGCAUUUAUUUUAAGCAAAAUCAGCUGUUAGAGCAGCUCGCAGACCUGAGUAUUUCUACACGCGUGUUUUCUUUUCCCUGAAGACUUCUCUUAUUUAUCCAUCACCACUAAUCCUCUUCUCGGAGGCUGCAGCUUUGUGAACAAUGCUAUGGGCACGGGGAAUCUCCGAACAGACGCUCAGAAAGACGUUAGGAAAACAAAUCAGGUACUCUAACAAACGAGAAGCACUUCCCGGAGAGAUACAAUAUCAGCUAGUCACCAGAGCUGCAAUCAGUUUUAACUGAUGAACGCACCACUGGCCAAACCUGAAAGAGGCAUGUGCACAUCACUGCGCAAAGCCCCAGCUCCGAGGCGAGACAACCGCUGCCUUCUUCAGCUCUUCCUCCCCGCCCCGGUCGCUGUGCGGAGUCUUUUCAAUGCCCGCAGCCCCUCCAAGUCACAGCUCGACUCCGAGAAGAGACCAGCUCCCAUCAAACACGUGUUUUCGGAGCCGCACGUGCACCUUUAUACCGCUGCCUUCCCAAUUCCUUUCAGCCCACCAACACCCUCCUCCAGCUCCCUUCGGGCUGCGGAUGGCAGACGCGCCGCGGGGCCGCGCACGCCCCGCCGCCUCCCUGCUGCCUACAGGAGGUGAGGGAAAACGCUGAUGUCCACAGGGCUUGGGAGAGAGGGGCGCGAGUGCCGGAGCUCCUUUCACCUGUAGCCACCAUCUUAACGAACCUCGCUCUCCGUUUCCGUCGGCUGCGGUCACUAAGCGAGGGCUUUCCCUUCCUCGGCAGGCAGGAGCCGUUCGGAGGCGCCCCAGCUUCACCGUGGUUGGUUUGGGAUGGGGCUGCAAACGGGGAGCCCCCGGCUCCGCCCUAGCACCAGGAGGUCUUCGACCUAG